rnacentral:rRNA from 1 species
UGGGGGAUAUUGCACAAUGGAGGAAACUCUGAUGCAGCGACGCCGCGUGAGGGAAGACGGUCUUCGGAUUGUAAACCUCUGUCUUUGGGGACGAUAAUGACGGUACCCAAGGAGGAAGCUCCGGCUAACUACGUGCCAGCAGCCGCGGUAAUACGUAGGGAGCGAGCGUUGUCCGGAAUUACUGGGUGUAAAGGGAGCGUAGGCGGGGUCUCAAGUCGAAUGUUAAAUCUACCGGCUCAACUGGUAGCUGCGUUCGAAACUGGGGCUCUUGAGUGAAGUAGAGGCAGGCGGAAUUCCUAGUGUAGCGGUGAAAUGCGUAGAUAUUAGGAGGAACACCAGUGGCGAAGGCGGCCUGCUGGGCUUUACUGACGCUGAGGCUCGAAAGCGUGGGGAGCAAACAGGAUUAGAUACCC